GAAAAAACAAACAAAAAA
rnacentral:sRNA from 1 species